GAGAUAAAUGAUUGUAACACUUUAUUGCCAUUUGGUGGAUGGCCUGCAUAUAACCUAUCUCCAUUUGGUUAGGAAACUUUGCCUUCAUGCAGAUGUUGCCCAAGUAAGAUUGGCUCUCCUCAUUGGUGGUUGUCCAAAGAUGGCAUUGUACAUCAACAAUUGAUCCAUGACAAAAAAUGCUACCAUAACAGUGGAAAUAUGUCUCAUAUUGCCCAUAGUAAUUGAUAAAGUUAUCAAGCCC
rnacentral:lncRNA from 1 species